CCUUAGAAAUAACAUUUCUUAUUGUUGCAGUUAGAAAAACAAUGCCCCUUUAUUAUAUAUUUUUUUUCUUGACCCUACAGGAUGCCCAGUGGUAACCAGCCUACCAUGUGGCUCAACAGAUGCCAGUGUACCCGAAUACUGAGACACAAUUGGGUGUUCUUUUCUUCUGCUUUUAAGAUUCCCAGUUUGGGAUAAUGUGCAGUUCAUGUUAGAUUUUCUAUUUCUACAGUUACAGUGAAGUAGAAGAGUCCAGUCGUGUUAUGGGGCAGCAGUUAAAGAAGAAGGAUGGAGAGAUGAGUGCCAUGUUGAAGUAGCAGCUGGUCCUCCUGCCUGCUCUUCUAGAAUCCUCCAUCUAAACCUCUGGUCUGAUCUGCUGUGCCUUUGCCAAGUGAUCACGAGUUUAUUGCAAUGGUGCCCCCCCUGCAUCCACACCAUCAGUUACAUCAACUCCAACUGCCUGUGAUAGAAGAAAAGUUCACAAGACGUCCUAAAUGGUAUUGUGAUUGGACUGAGACGGCCACAAUUUUGUGUGCUGGAAUGUGCAGAGAGGGCUGUGCGGGCUUUGGCUUGGGACCCCCAGAGAUUUAUUAUCUCCAGUAUCCUUGAAGACUGCAAGUUUGUCUUUGUCCCUAGCCAUUUGACCAGGCAGUGUAUUUAUUACAAAGGACAAGGACCCCUCCAUUUGCUUCUUAAUUACUUUUAUAAUGCCUUCAAUGUUCUUUGUAACUAUGUUUUUGAAGAGCAAGUUGAGCUACACUUGUAAGCAAAGGUGAUAUAGAAAUAUUAUUACUGAACAAAUGUUAAGGGACAGGUCAGGAAAAAUGUCAGUUUAAGUAAAACACAUUUUUAAUGGAAUAUUGCUGAAUAACAACUCUUUGACUCUGAGUAGCAUCUUGUUCAUAAAGCUAAAAUAGCAUUUUUCCUUUUUUGGCAAAUUUAAUGUUUCACUUUUACUGCAUUCAAAGGUUUGGCUAACAUUUUUUUUAAAGAUCGGUAAAUAUAUUUGUGUUUUCCUUCCCUAAUAGCUUUUAAAACCUCCCCAUUGUUGGCCAUUUUCAUUGUAUCUGUGUUCUAGUUAAAUGCAUUUACCUUUUAUACAUCUUU